UUCUGUUAUGCAUGUGUCCAUAAUGUCUGUAUCCUUCACAGUCUAGCUGUCCAGAGUGUAGACCAAUUUUUGUGACCCAAAAGAGGUGGGACUACCCUUCACUGCCACUGAUUGACAAGGUUGGUCAUCUUCCAUGGCUGCAGAAAGCAGAGACCCAGUAUCUGUGAACCUUAUUACUCCAAGAAAGGAAACUUAAGCAACUACAUUGCCUCAUAGCAAGAAUCAAUUUCCCCCUUCCUCCCCAGUCCAGCCUCAAGCUGUUCUGGUAGUUCUGAGACUUUACAGCUGCACAACUACGCAUCUCUUUCUUUCUCCACCUGUUAUCCAAUGAUAUUUUAAUGAACGGCAUGGUCCACAAAGAAACAACAAUUUGCCCAGUUUCUACAUUACGUAGCACUACUUAAGAUUUGCCAGAAAAUCUGCCUAAGCACGAUCACUACCCCAUACCUAAAAAGUUGCUCUGAGCACGGACUUCAAACCAGGUCUCCCACAUCUCAGAACUAACCGUCCACCACGUGCAACUGCUCCACAAAUGCCAUGGCACACAGCAAGGCAGCCUCCAAGGCAUUAUCAUCAGACUCACAGCUCAGGAAAUACUGCAGGAUAAGGUGCGUUGUGUUUGUAAUGCUCAGCGCAAUAUUGAAGAGCAGUGCAGGAUCCAUGCUUUCUGACAGAGACGGUGGAUGUGCAGGUUACAGAGGCUUUUGAAAAGCAACACGAAACAUCCUACGAUGCCCAUGGAAUGAGGGGAUGGAGAAAACUGAAUCAUAGGACACUGAACCUGCUCUAUGAGGCAUUGCAAACCCUUCCUAAAUCACCCUGCACUAAAUAGUGGCGAGUUGCACGGUGGGAUAGCUACCGCUGAUGCACUCCUCUCUGCAUCGAUGCAAGUGCUGCUACUGUGGACAUGCAACGGUGGCUUGUACGUUCACACAACUUAAAUUGACUUAAUUUUGUAGUGUAGACAAGUCCUGGGAUAAAGGGAUUAUUCCUAAAUCCAGCUCUAUCCCACAAAAAUAUUUCAACUGAGACCUUGUUAUAAAAUACCCCACUAUGUCAUCACUGUCAUGUAUAACCACAUUUGAAAAUCAGAUAUCAGUAAAAAAAAGAAAAAUUGUUCACAUCACAUAGUGUGGGGGAGGGAUGGGGGAAAUGCACAUUUUCUAGCUGCUUUCCAUUCUGCCCUGCCCUACAGUACAGUCAGUGAACAUUUCAUGCUGUUAAAACUCCCUUCUGUGAGGCAAACUGUUCAUUGAAGGCUCUUAUUGUUAUCACAGAUGAAUUCUAUUCCAUUUAAAUAUUGCUUGGACUGCAAACCACAUCUUAUAUGAAGAUACUGUAAUGCCUGAAAGA